CUAUUUCUUGCUUACAGGUUCUCGAUGCUUUGGUAGUCCAUGAAACAUUAAGAUCUGAAACUGAGUGAGGCUAGGACUGGAACUUUUUCUGUAUGUGAAGAUUUUCUUCUUAAUUCAUUAUAAUUCUGAAAUAGAGGAAUUUUAGGAAUGUUUUUUAUAGGAUUUGCUGGUUGGAUUUCAGAUAGGCUCUCUUGUGAUCCUGGAACCUUUGAUUGGUUAUUGACUCGGUUGCUUGGAGACAAAGUGUUCAGAUAUACAUUUGGUUUUUGUUUUCUAAUGGUACUGUUUUGCAAGGCAAUAAUAAUUGGUGGGUGUUUGUUGUACUAAGAUACUGUUGCCUCAUCUUUGGUAGUCCAAAUGCUUUUACUAAUCGUUCUUGAUGUCACUGUCGACUGGAAAUGGAACGUGCACAUGCGAUUGUUGACACAAAUGCUGGUUCUUCGCCUUUACUUGUUGAACUCGUCUGGUCCUUCAAUCUUCCUGAAGGUUGGGACGGCCCAUCUUUCGUUUUCAGUCUAUCUGUUAAUUGCUCCUACGUGCAUUAGGAUGGAUUGGAGAUUACAAAAGUCGAAAGCGACCUGAGAAUAACAUCAACGAUCAGUCUGCAUCUUCUUAUAUCAAGGGCGAUAAAGCAAUCAGUUGAAUUGCUCUAUGGGUGCAACUGUGUUGACAACGUGGGAAAGAAAUCAAAACAGGAUAUGCUCUGUUUUGAGUUCGAGGGAAAUCUCUGAAGAACAAGGUACAUAUCAUAUAACAGGGUUCCAACGGAGAACCGUGCAGAUAACUUAUUUGGGACAGCAUCUACCAAAAAAACAUACUCCGGCAAAAGAAAACAAUGCAACUACCUACACAUGGCUUAUUAAAGGCAAACAACAAGAUUGGUAGACUUGUUUAGAACCAUUCUUCCUAGCUGCAUGUUUGCUGGUGUUCUUCGGAAACUGUUUGCUAUUCCCCGAAGAUGCAUCAGAAGCCAUUGAAU